CGGACCUCUCACCCGUGACAGGGCUGGUUUUUCAAGCCCGGGAAAACCAAUCGCAGACCCGGUAUUUUUCAAGGACCCCAAAUCCCGAGGAAGAAAGGACCAGACCCACACUUCUCCAUCUGUAAUCCCUGCAACCUCUCCCGAUGGUUCUCCAUCGCCAGAGCACACUAGCUGGGACCCAGCUUCCAUAGGCCACCAGAAUCCCCUUCUACUAACAUUUUAGGGGUAUCAAACUAUGGACGCGCCACCGGCCCUGUCCCACGCUCACCCUCCUCGUCCUCCUCUCGGGCUCCUGGU